GUAUAACGACUUCAUACUCGAUAUUCGAAAACAAUCGUAUCGCCCCUAUCGUUGUUUGCAAAGUAAACGUAAUAUUCGAGGCAUAUCUCGCCAGAAAAGGAAGUGAACAAUGCGCGUUGUUCGUGAUGCCGGAUGAGGAUGAUCGAUGCAAACGACACGGUUGAAAAGUAAGCACGACAGGAGGAAUGAUAAUAGGAUAAUUUUUCAAUUUGAACUAUUUUUAAACUGCGAGAACACCCAUUAACCGGGGCGCGUUGCCCGCUAUUGAAACGAAGUAAAAUAAAACCGGUCUUUAACGUCGCACGACGGAUAUUAUCGAUUCUUAGAAAUUUAACUACUCUUGGAAACCAAGAAACAGAUAAAACUUAUGUUUUUACUGGCAUGAUUUCUCGUCUUAAUUUUGUAUUCCGAGUUCCCUUGAAAUUUUUCUCUUGUUUACUAAAACGAGAGUAAGAUUGGAAUAUAAAAAUUCAAGGACUUGGGGUUAAUCUUAUAUUACUGCCAAAGAGGCAUGCUCAGCCGCAUCUUGGACGAGCUAAAAUUACAGCAUCGUAUUUAACAAAGUGUAGUUUACGCCUCGGUGAUAUUCAUACAGCAAAACACGUAACAAAAAAAAUACCGCCAAAGACUGAAAUGUUUUACGGUAAACAAAGUGCGACUAAUAAUAGCACAGAUGCUUCGAAUUUUCUGUUCAACAGCAUGCAAUGUGCAAAAAUUUCCGGUUAAACGGAUUUCUCAUUUUAUAUUUUGUAA